rnacentral:rRNA from 1 species
AUUGAACGCUGGCGGCAGGCCUAACACAUGCAAGUCGAACGGUAACAGGAAGCAGCUUGCUGCUUUGCUGACGAGUGGCGGACGGGUGAGUAAUGUCUGGGAAACUGCCUGAUGGAGGGGGAUAACUACUGGAAACGGUAGCUAAUACCGCAUAAUGUCGCAAGACCAAAGAGGGGGACCUUCGGGCCUCUUGCCAUCGGAUGUGCCCAGAUGGGAUUAGCUAGUAGGUGGGGUAAAGGCUCACCUAGGCGACGAUCCCUAGCCGGUCUGAGAGGAUGACCAGCCACACUGGAACUGAGACACGGUCCAGACUCCUACGGGAGGCAGCAGUGGGGAAUAUUGCACAAUGGGCGCAAGCCUGAUGCAGCCAUGCCGCGUGUAUGAAGAAGGCCUUCGGGUUGUAAAGUACUUUCAGCGGGGAGGAAGGGAGUAAAGUUAAUACCUUUGCUCAUUGACGUUACCCGCAGAAGAAGCACCGGCUAACUCCGUG